CUGCGUUAUUCAGUGAAGCAGACAUGGCCUAUUCCCUACAUUUGCCCCUUGAAAAUGUUCAAUUUUAAUUUAAAAGAUUAAUACAGCCAGGAUAUUCUUUCAACAGGCAAAUAAAAACCGCAGUUUAAACUCUAAGUUUCAAUCAGAAACUAACAGCUCUUGGAUUUCCCAGGGCUCACACUCCUCUGAAACAACUCACGAAGAGCCUGAGGAAGCAGUUCUCACUGGAAAAUGCAAGAAAGUAUGUUCCGGUGAAGACCCUCAGCUCUGUUCAUUUUCAUGAUGCAAAUGCCCACAAAGGUGGUUUUGACCUGACUGACCCUGUGCAAGGAGGCACAGUCUCCUCACCAGCAUAAGCACGUGGCAUCAGAUGCGGAGACAGUUUUGGACGUGGAUGGAUGUUUACACACUGAGACUCCUUCAGUGUCCCUUCAAGAAAAUGUGGACACAAUGUCUCUGAAGCCUGUUAGUGACCAUAGAAUUAAUUUCACUAAUACCUUUCGGUCACCGACUCCUGAAAAGAGAACACGUGAAUAUCAUGAGUCCGUUGAAAAAAGACAGUAAGUGGGCUUGAAAAAACAGAAUAAAAGAAACACAAGUUUUCAUUUUGAUCAAGGUUAAAAGGAUGCAGUUAAGGAACAGCUGCCUUCCACCUGAAUGAGCCACUAGAUGCUAAAACACUUUUGCUUGUCUGUAAACAUGUGAAUACAAUUAGGUUUAUAUUACUUUGAAGAAACUAUUGUGUUAUCUAAAUUUGUAACGUCACAUUUGAGAGACUCAGUGAUUAAAAACAGCUAUUUUCACUGUAGUUAAA
ensembl:lncRNA novel transcript